GUAUGUUUAAUAUUGAACCUUGAAGCAAAUAACUUUUCGGGAACUGUUCCUUCUGAUUUGGGGAGAUUAAUAAAUUUACAAACAUUGAUUUUGUCCUCAAACCGGUUGACGGGAACGUUGCCAGCAUCCCUUGCUGAAUUGAGCAAUUUAAAAGAUUUCAGGAUAAGUGACAACAAUCUCAGUGGGUCCAUACCUAAUUUCAUAGAGAAUUGGAGACAACUCAAUAAACUAGAACUAAUUGGGACGGGGCUUUCGGGACCGAUUCCUUCAUCCAUUUCCUUUCUGAACUUAA
rnacentral:lncRNA from 1 species